AUGGCAAGAAAUUGCUUCUUCUGUACCUCGAUGUCAUAUCUUCUCAGUCAACCAGGGUAUGUGGUUCAUGUAUUUGUGAUGGAAGAAACUUCUUCUACACCUACCUGCUUUCUCUGUCCUCCGAUGCCAGGCAAGGACCAGUCCAGAAGGAAGUAG
rnacentral:rRNA from 1 species